UGGUGCCACUGCCUGCCCGACCAGCCCUUGGAAGCAGCCCAGGGCCCAGCGGCGGUGAGGUGAGUCCCUCGCCCACAGCCCAGAGGUUGUUUGCUGCCAUGUGUCUGUGCAAUGUGCACACUCAGCUAGCACCUCUGCCAAGGAGUUAAAGUCGGGAACCAACAGUUUCAACCAGGAAAUUUCUCGUAAUUGCAUUUGAGUCUGCAUGAGAUGUUGAGCAUUUCAGAGGAACUGCACAGUUUGGCUCCUGUGAAGUGUCCUGACUUGACCAGGUCUGAGUGUCUAUCCUGAAGGCAAGGAGGCAUUCCAGCAAGAUCCUUUGCCUGAUGACAGCCUGAUAAACAGAGUAACUGAGGAGCAUUCAAAGCCGCUGCAGGAGUGCCAGAGUACCAAGCUCAGAGGUUGCAGCCAGGAGCACAGCCCAAACAACACCACAGGCUGCUCCAGGGAAGACAACCCUAGGCCAGGCUGACACCAGACACCAGAAGCUCCGCCUUUGCUGCCAGGAGCUCCAGCUGUCACUGUGAUCCCUACCAGAAAAAAAUAUAAAUAAAUAAAGUGGGACACAUGCUCCUGCUUCUCACUCCGCCUUUCAGAUCUGGGGCACCUGAUGGGCAGAACCUGGUCACAGGUUGCAGAAGAGCCUGGCUCAUGGGGUUCGGA